GACGAACGCUGGCGGCGUGCUUAACACAUGCAAGUCGAACGGAAAGGCCCUGCUUUUGUGGGGUGCUCGAGUGGCGAACGGGUGAGUAACACGUGAGUAACCUGCCCUUGACUUUGGGAUAACUUCAGGAAACUGGGGCUAAUACCGGAUAGGAGCUCCUGCUGCAUGGUGGGGGUUGGAAAGUUUCGGCGGUUGGGGAUGGACUCGCGGCUUAUCAGCUUGUUGGUGGGGUAGUGGCUUACCAAGGCUUUGACGGGUAGCCGGCCUGAGAGGGUGACCGGCCACAUUGGGACUGAGAUACGGCCCAGACUCCUACGGGAGGCAGCAGUGGGGAAUAUUGCACAAUGGGCGGAAGCCUGAUGCAGCAACGCCGCGUGCGGGAUGACGGUCUUCGGGUUGUAAACCGCUUUCGCCUGUGACGAAGCGUGAGUGGCGGUAAUGGGUAAAGAAGCACCGGCUAACUACGUG
rnacentral:rRNA from 1 species